GACGUAGGGCGCGAGCGUUGUCCGGAUUUAUUGGGCGUAAAGAGCUCGUAGGCGGCUUGUUGCGUCGACUGUGAAAACCCGCAGCUUAACUGCGGGCCUGCCGUUGAUACGGGCAGGCUAGAGUUCGGUAGGGGAGACUGGAAUUCCUGGUGUAGCGGUGAAAUGCGCAGAUAUCAGGAGGAACACCGGUGGCGAAGGCGGGUCUCUGGGCCGAUACUGACGCUGAGGAGCGAAAGCGUGGGGAGCGAACAGG
rnacentral:rRNA from 1 species